GCCGUUAGGAGGGUGGGGCCGAAUGAUCGCUUCUUCUCUUAUUUAAGACAGCUCCCUGUCGCUCUGUUUAAAAUCUUUCAUCACCUAGGACAUUGCCACUCAACUGGGGCUUUGUUUUCCCUGAAUAGAGUUUAAUCAACUGAACUUUCAACAAUUGGAAAUAUUUUGUAGCCAUUGAAACUGAAUUUAUAGAGCUGAUUUGAUUAAAUUGCCCAGUAGAGGUUGAUUUUUAUUCCUGUGCAUUUUGGUGUCUGUUUAAAAUGACUGGUUCUGCUUUGACGGAAUGCCAUUUUCAACAUGAAAUUAAAUGUCAUUUUUAAGUUAUAAUCGUUCACUGACGUUAUCAGAAGUACAGUUAAUCAAUUUUUUGAUCCAUGUGUUUCAACAGAGCACUAGCAAAAAUAAUAUUUUAGAUUUUUUUAAGGAUUGGCACUUGAGCUAACAACUAUUGCCAAUCUUCUUUUUUUUUUUUUUUCAUUCUUCUUCCCACAGCCCCCCAGUAGAUAAUUGUGUAUUCUAGUCAUGAGCCUCUUGGCUGUGCUAUGUGGGAUGCUGCCUCAGUGUGGCCUGAUGAGCGGUGCCAUGUCCGCACCCAGGAUCCAAACCAGUGAAACCCUGGGCCACUGAAGCAGAGCGCAUGAACUUAACCACUCGGCCAUGGGGCCGGCCCCUAUUUUAGCCUUAUAUACUUAAAUCAAAUGCUAGAUUUUUUUUUUCUGAAUUAAGGAAGUAUUUUGUUACAGAGGAUACAAACACAGACUCCAGUUUUACCUGAACUUCCAGGAUCAUUGGACCUUUUCACUUGCCAUUACUACCAUCAUUGCUGUUGCUUCUGAGUAUGAUUCAGUAUAUUGCUUAGUCUCUUCACAGGGACAAAUUAAAAUCUUAGAUUCUUUUGUUUAAAACAGGAAUAUCUUUUCAAUGGAAUAAAUGGCUUUAAAAUUCAAAUUGUUGUAGUUCAGCAUUCCUUAGAACAUUUCUCUGUUGUCUUUUUUGUUUGUUCGCAGGGAAAGAUUGGCCCUGAGCGAACAUCUGUUGCCAGUCUUGCUCUUCUUUUUACCCCUCCCCAAAGCCCCAGUGCAUGGUUGUAUAGCCUAGUUGUAAAUCCUAGUUCUUGUGUGUGAGCCACUGUCACUGCACAGCGACUGACAGAUGGGUGGUGUGGUUCUGCGCCUGGGAAACAAACUCAGGCCACUAAACUGGUGAGAGCACAUCAGAGCUGGCUCAUUUCUCUUAGUUUUGAAAGAUGGUAGUAAUUAAGUUUUUCAAGGGAUAAUUUCUUGAAGAACAAUUUUGCUAAUAUUUGUUCAUUAUGCUUAUUUAGGAGAUCAAAUUUUUAAUGAGCAUGCAGAAUGUUUACAGAGAAAGGUAUAUCUGAUUUAGAGUAGGCUGUAAUAAAGCUGUGUUUUGGAAAAGUUAUAUCACAAGUCCACUUAGUGUUUUUAAUACAAAAUUACAGAAAUUUAGAAUACAAUGAAAUUUAGAUCCUUUUUAUAUUUUGCAAAAGUAUGAUGCAAGGUGGAUAAAUUGUUUUAGAAUGCUAUUAAUCUAAAAAGCAAAAAUAAAAGUUAAAUAAACGCUUAACUUCUGCUGUAUUUGGGUCCUACCAGUGGAGAAGUCGAUGUAAGGGUGCAAGCAUUGGUCUCGCACACUGUUGGCCACAAAUGCUAAAGUAAAAUGCAUGUAUCUAUUUGAAUAAAAUAAAUGGUAUCCCACGAGAUCUUUUUCCUAUUUGUCUUUUGCAAAUAUAAGAAAAUAACUACUUACCUUUGGAAUAUUAUACACAAGAUUCUUCUGUUUUUAGAAUAUCAUGUCUAGUUCUAACAAGCUGUUCUGUAGCCUUAAUGGUCUUCUGCAACUGCUUCCUGGCG
rnacentral:lncRNA from 1 species